rnacentral:rRNA from 1 species
UACAGAGGUCCCAAGCGUUGUUCGGAUUCACUGGGCGUAAAGGGUGCGUAGGUGGUUGGGUAAGUCUGAUGUGAAAUCUCCGAGCUUAACUCGGAAAUGGCAUUGGAUACUAUUCGGCUAGAGGGUUUGAGGGGGGACUGGAAUACUUGGUGUAGCAGUGAAAUGCGUAGAUAUCAAGUGGAACACCAGUGGCGAAGGCGAGUCCCUGGAAAACUCCUGACACUGAGGCACGAAAAGCUAGGGGAGCAAACAGG